rnacentral:rRNA from 1 species
UACAGAGGAUGCAAGCGUUAUCCGGAAUGAUUGGGUGUAAAGCGUCUGUAGGUGGCUUUUUAAGUCCGCCGUCAAAUCCCAGGGCUCAACUCUGGACAGGCGGUGGAAACUACCAAGCUGGAGUACGGUAGGGGCAGAGGGAAUUUCCGGUGGAGCGGUGGAAAGUGACGUAGAGAUCGGAAAGAACACCAACGGCGAAGCACUCUGCUGGGCCGACACUGACACUGAGAGACGAAAGCUAGGGGAGCGAAUGG